rnacentral:hammerhead_ribozyme from 1 species
AUCCAGCUGACGAGCCUCAGACAGGACGAAACGCGCAUCCUGGAU